UUCCGGUUGAUCCUGCCGGAGGCUACCGCUAUUGGAGUCCGAUUAAGACAUGCGAGUCGAGAGCUUUCGGAGCUCGGCAUACUGCUCAGUAACACGUGGGUAACCUGCCCUGUGCUGGGGGAUAACCUCGGGAAACUGAGAACAAUACCCCAUAGUCCACUACGCCUGGAACGGUGAGUGGAUGAAAGCCCCGGCGGCACAGGAUGGGCCUGCGGCGUAUCAGGUAGUAGGGGGUGUAAAGUACCCUCUAGCCUUCGACGCGUACGGGUUGUGAGAGCAAUAGCCCGGAGAUGGAUUCUGAGACACGAAUCCAGGUCCUACGGGACGCAGCAGUCGCGAAACCUUGACAAUGCGGGAAACCGUGAUCAGGGGACUCCAAGUGCCAGGAGUAAGAUCCUGUGCUUUUCUUUUCUCUUCAAAGGAUUUGGAAUAAGAGGUGGGUAAGGACGGUGCCAGCCGCCGCGGUAAUACCGGCGCCUCGAGUGGUAGUCGAUUUUAUUGGGCCUAAAACGUCCGUCGCCGGUCUGGUGCAUUCGUGGGUAAAUCAACCCGCUCAACGGGUUGAAUUCUGCGAGCACGGCCAGACUAGGGACCGGGAGAGGUGUGGGGUACGCUCGGGGUAGGGGUAAAAUCCUGUCAUCCCGAGCGGACCACCUGUUGCGAAGGCUCCACACUAGAACGGAUCCGACGGUCAGGGACGAAGCCUAGGGGCACGAACCGGAUUAGAUACCCGGGUAGUCCUAGGUGUAAACGCUGUGGACUUGGUGUUGGGAGCUCCCAGAGGGCUCUCAGUGCCGUAGCGAAGGUGAUAAGUCCACUGCCUGGGGAGUACGGUCGCAAGGCUGAAACUUAAAGGAAUUGGCGGGGGAACACCGCAACCUGAGGAUUGUGCGGUUUAAUUGGAUUCAACGCCGG
rnacentral:rRNA from 1 species